UACAGAGGGUGCAAGCGUUAAUCGGAAUUACUGGGCGUAAAGCGCGCGUAGGUGGUUGAGUAAGCGAGAUGUGAAAGCCCGGCUCAACCUGGGAACGGCACUUCGAACUGCUCGGCUAGAAUAUGGUAGAGGGUAGUGGAAUUUCCUGUGUAGCGGUGAAAUGCGUAGAUAUAGGAAGGAACACCAGUGGCGAAGGCGGC
rnacentral:rRNA from 1 species